UACGUAGGGUGCAAGCGUUGUCCGGAAUUAUUGGGCGUAAAGAGCUCGUAGGCGGUUUGUCGCGUCGGCUGUGAAAGCCCGGAGCUCAACUCCGGGUCUGCAGUCGAUACGGGCAGACUUGAGUGUUGCAGGGGAGACUGGAAUUCCUGGUGUAGCGGUGAAAUGCGCAGAUAUCAGGAGGAACACCGGUGGCGAAGGCGGCGACCUGGUCCUUGACUGACGCUGAGGCGCGAAAGCGUGGGGAGCAACAGG
rnacentral:rRNA from 1 species